rnacentral:lncRNA from 1 species
CCUGAUAAAGCCCUCAUCCAAGAGAUCCUGCAACUGCUUCUUAAGUUCAUUCAACAUUGUUGGAUCCAUUCUGUAAAGAGGUAUUGAGAUGGGCUGAGUGUCAGUCAAAGUGUUUAUGCGAAUUAAAUCUCUCUAACUAGUAAUAAUCCUGAAUCCUCCAGGAAUACUUUCAGAAACUCCCUCAUCACAGUUAUUGACUCGAGUAUUAGGGAGUAAGCCCUUGAGGUAUGCACGUGAUCUAAAUAUGACAAACAUCUGGUCCCUAUCAAUGUUUUGGCCUUAAGGUAAGAAAUAAACUUACCCAUAGGCAAACCAAUUUCACCCUUAAUUAUAACUCGAUCUUCACCCAUAAAUGAGAAUUUGACCAUUUUGGCAUGACAAUAAAUAAGUGCAUAACAUGAAGCUAGCCAAUCCAUGCUCACUAUGACAUCAAAAUUUGUCAUGUCUAACAAGUGCAGUUUGCUAGAGUGUCUUUACCUUUGACUAAGAUUACACAAUUUCUGAUUGAUACUAAAUCCCUUAUAGGAUUUGAAAUCUUAAAAUUAUUUUCUAAGUUUUCAAGUUGUUUUCCUAGUCCCAUGGCGAAAAAGUAAGAUACAUACGAGAUAGUAGAACCUGUGUCUAUCAAAGUAUAAGCAAGACGAUUGCAUACUGUUAAAGUACAUGUGAUGACUGCAUUUGAUGCCUCUUCAUUUUGUCGGUCUAUGGCGGCAUAGAGUCUAUCUGGUCUUCCACUGACCUGAGCUCCUCUACUACCUGCACCAUGGUCCAUUGGGUUAUUAGGCCAAACUAGAGGAGGUGCAGUGGGAGUAGUAGUUUUGGAAGCUGACUGAGUGGCUCUAGCCUUCCCUAUGGUCUGUCUGAGAUGAGGGCAAUUCCUCAUGAUAUGGACCAGAUUAUUGCAUUGGUAACAGCCUCUCUGAUCUAAACAACACUGUUUGUGAUGCCUCUUCUGACAAAUGGAGCACUAGGGGUAUGACUGAACGAUCUGACUCUGAGUAGGUGCAUUGUGCCCUUGAUAAACCUGAUCUCGAGCCUGCUAAUUUUGCCUAGAUGGAACUGGGUACGAAGAAGAAUGAGACACUAAUUGACUCUGAGCUAUGUGAUUUCUAUUCUUUCCUCUACCUGUCUCCCCGCUAUAUCCACCUACGGUCCUUGCUUUUUGGUUAACCUCUCGAGAUUAUUUAAUAAUCGUUUCAAAACCCUCUUUGUGUUUAGCUAUGUUCACUACCUGAAGAAAAGUCUUAUCCUCCAUGUGUGAAGCCAUAUCCCUGGCAGUGUAAGUAUUAAGACCAUCCAUAAAUCUUUUGACCCUUUUUUCCCUUUCUGAAGGGAUCAAGGUGGGAGCAUGCUUUGUUAAUUUGUUAAAUUACAUUUCAUACUCAAAAACUGUCAUUGUACCCUAUUUAAGAUUUUUAAAUUCCCAUUUGAGUUCAUCUUAUCGGUUGCUGGGUAAAAACCUUUCCAUGAAAGCAUGUUUGAACUAUGGCCAAGAGAUCGGUGGUAGAUUAGGACCUUUUCUCUUCUUGUAAGUUCUCCACCAGACUCCUGCAGCUUGAGUUAGAUGAUACCCAAUUAACUCAAAAACUAAAGUAUCUAGAGAACCUAAGGAAAUAAACAUCUCUUCAAUUUAUUCCAAAAAUUGCAUCGAUUUUGCUUUCGGGUCCAUGCUUGUGAAGUGGCAGGGUAAAGCCCAGUGAAGUCUCCUGGCUUAACUCUAACUGCGGGCCACCUAAUAAUAUUAGCCAGAACAACUGGUUGUGCCAUAUAAGCUGAGAAUUCUGAAAGUCAUUCUCCACUACAUUUGCAUCUGAAUCGUAUUUAUCCUAAAUCGGCUCAUGAGAAGAUGGUGCCUGGCCAUGAGCUAGAGGGGCUAGUGACUCUAAGAACUCAAGAAUCCUCUCGAGUUGGGCAUCUAGCUGUUGGGACUAAUUUUCCCAGUUUGGGAUAAGAAGAGGUGAAAUCUCUGCUUGCUCCUCAGCAACUGGCUGAGGUGGAGCUUAUCCUCACCCUGCAGCCAUACAUCUUCCUUGAUACCCCUUCCACUGACGUUCUGUCCACUGGUCCUACCUCGGCCUCUACCUCUUCCUCUAGCUACAGUUGGUGCCACCGAGGCAACUGGUGUAUCUACCACCACUGAAGGCACAUCUUGGUGAUUAGCACUUUGGUACUCCGACAUUGUUUGCAGCAGAGGACGAAGUCAAUCUUUUUCUAACCAUCAUGUUUCUAAAACGAGAUUGGAAAUUGUCAUAUCAUUUGAAAUUCUAGCACUAACGCACGACAUGAGAAGAAAAAAUUAGAAUUUUUCUAGUAUGUCAUAUAGCCUCCCAAGUAUUAGAUGUGAUGCGCUACACACUUAUAUGUAGUACUUUAAAAGACACGGCUCAUGAUUCCCUGGGACCCCUAAAACUAGCGGAUCUUUAUACUAACUUAUCACGCCUCAAAACUGGAGUGUGACAUGAUGGCACUCAACCUACCUUAGUCGUUGAGCAAGCCUUGUUCUAACUAACUAAAAAUUUUAAACAGAAUAUCAUUCCCAUGAAAAAUUACAAAUAAAUCUUAAGACAAUAACUGUCGGAAAACUAAAUCAUAACACAAAACUCAACAUGUUUGACAAUUAAACCCAUUAUCAAAGUCACGAGCCUCUAACUGAUGUCUGGAUACAUAAGCCUUCAGGGCAUUCUCCAGAAUGUUUUUAGUAUCUAAUUAUAGCUAAAGGUCUGAAAAGAAUAUUGACACUGUUGGAAACAAUCAACGACUCACCACUAAGUCAACGGAAACCGUCGUGCUCCGUCACCUACAAACUCAAUGCCUACCACAUAACGUGCAGAGCCAAACGAGCUAAACACCACCAAAGGACACCUAGAAAGUCUCGUUGAUAAUUCCCUAAGCGGAGGACAAACUAGCAUGGGCUAAAUACAUUAACAUAAUAAAAUGCAACAAUUAAGGCAGGCAAUUCUCAUAGCACUUAUUGAGUAGUCUUAAAACUAAAACUGGUUCUAAAAAUUUAUUUCAACGGUUAUAAUUGAAACUGAACUGGAUCUGUAUUUGAUAAUUGAAAGCUAAAGCUGAAAACUGAAUUCUUUAUUUGGUAACUGAGAUUAAAACUAAAAGAUGAGUCAAACUGGUAUUUGAAACUAAAUCUGAAAAUUGAGUUAGUUUUAAAGAAAUAAAUUUUCUAACACUUUCACACAUAGUGGCCCUGUGUACGUGAGCAUUUGGGAACGCACACAGGAAAGUAUCAUCCUAUCUCCCCAGCAAACAAUUUAGCACAUGCAAGUAUAGGGUAGCUAACCCUAGCUACCGUGGCGCUCAUACUCGGAGAGGUUGGCUACUUCUCCCUUUCUGAAUAUGAUCAUAUUUAUCUGAAUCUGAAUAAAAUAUCUGAGUCAUACAAGCAAUUGCACAAAUAGAAGUAGUUGCAAAUAAGCAAAUAAUUACUACAAGUCAUGCGAUCUACUCAUCAUCUGCCGUAAAGGUUUUUAAUUUGUAUAUAUACUUUUUUAUUCUAUAAAUAGAGCAAAUAAACAGACAAUUACUAUGCACAUUCUAAUCUAGCCCUUGACAUAGGGAAGAAACCUCAACUCACCACGAAACAACUGCCCAAGUCUUCUCUCAACGAUCUCGCGUAGUCAACUUUUCAAAAUCUAUAAUUCAAGGUCUUAAAACCAUUAACCCUAACUAUUCAUUCAACUCAAUUCCUCUAUCAAAGUCUUAUUUAGUCAUCCCGGGCUUAAAGUUAAUUUUCACAUAUAACUUCAUCAAUUAUUAUAUUUUAUUAUCUUAAUACGUUCAAAAGAUUCUAACUUUAAUGCUGAGAGUAGUAAAAUUUACCUUGGGCGAAGUUCCCACAAAAUCCUAGGUAUUUCCUUCUCUUGAGUUCUUGGAAAUAUUUUUUGAAAUCUAGGAAUUUUCCAAGUAAUUUGAUGUUAGGAGUAUGAUUAGAUGAUGAAAAUCUAUGUAUUUUCCCACGAAUUACUCAUCUUUGAGUGUGGGAGUUUGCAAACUUAGUGCUUGCUAUGGAGGAGAAG